CCAAUAGCGUAUAUUAAAGUUGUUGCAGUUAAAAAGCUCGUAGUUGAAUUUCGAGAUCGGUUUAUUGGUCGUGCUAUUGUCCGUACUGGUAUUACCGGUUUCUCCUUUCUGACGAACCUUAAUGCCAUUAAUUUGGUGUUUUGGGAAAUCGGGACUGUUACUUUGAAAAAAUUAGAGUGUUUAAAGCAGGCUCACGCUUGAAUACAUUAGCAUGGAAUAACGGACAUGGACGUUUGAUUCUAUUUUGUUGGUUUCUAGGAUCGACGUAAUGAUUAAUAGGGAUAGUUGGGGGCAUUAGUAUUCAAUUGUCAGAGGUGAAAUUCUUGGAUUUAUUGAAGACUAACUACUGCGAAAGCAUUUGCCAAGGAUGUUUUCAUUAAUCAAGAACGAAAGUUAGGGGAUCGAAGACGAUCAGAUACCGUCGUAGUCUUAACCAUAAACUAUGCCGACUAGGGAUCGGAUGAUGUUAAUUUUUUAAUGACUCAUUCGGCGCCUUACG
rnacentral:rRNA from 1 species